CCCAGGUGCCCCCGCUGAAUUCAUUUAUCAGUUUGGAUGCCUUCAGUUUCUUGUCUAAUUGAUCUGGUCGGAACAUCCGGGACAAUCUUGAAUGGCAGUGGUGGACAUGGGCCUCCUUGUCUUGUUCCUGAUAGUACCCCUACCCAGGGACCCCAACGCACUAGACGUUGACAAGUGGCGCCCGAACAGGGACCCUGAAGUUCGCUCAGGAGGGGUGAGUAUUUCUAAUACUGGUAAGCAUCAAUAUUACAGGGUUAUGGGACAAGGAAUUUCUACUCCUUAUGUUCGAAUGCUGAAGCAUUCACUCGCUGUUUAU